rnacentral:rRNA from 1 species
UACGUAGGGUGCGAGCGUUGUCCGGAAUUAUUGGGCGUAAAGAGCUCGUAGGCGGUGUGUCACGUCGGCCGUGAAAACCUGCAGCUUAACUGUGGGCGUGCGGUCGAUACGGGCAUCACUGGAGUUCGGCAGGGGAGACUGGAGUUCCUGGUGUAGCGGUGAAAUGCGCAGAUAUCAGGAGGAACACCGGUGGCGAAGGCGGGUCUCUGGGCCGAUACUGACGCUGAGGAGCGAAAGCAUGGGUAGCGAACAGG